CAUUUUCAACAAAUCCAGAACCACCGAGAGUCAGGGAAAUCUUUCGUUCAUUCUCUGAUCAUCUCCUCCUCGCCGUUGUUCUUCAUUUCUUCCCUCACCGUCGCUGAGCUUGCUUGUUUCUUCUCCAUUGAGGAUCUGCCGUGAAACGGCACUACUUCUCAUUUCCCCUGUCUCUGGUUACUACUAAUUUUUGGCUCACCAUUGAUGAAGUAUGCUUGGUCUUUGCCUCUUCUUCCUCCUUAGCUGCUAUGUUUAGAUCACCGAAGUUUGUUGCUGCAAGAAAGCUGUUCAAGUCGAUCUACUUGCUCCUUGCUCAGGCUUCACCAUUGAUUCCUUCUUCUCCCUCCUUCGGCAUCAUCUAGGUGAUAGUGGGUGGAGCUCGUCCUUCUUCUCCUUUGUUGGUCUGCCACUGGUACGGGUACUAUUGUGGGUUUGAGAUCUUCUUCCUCCUCUGCUCUUCCUUGACCAUGUGAUGGCUUCCCCUGUUUCUUCUUGGUUCACGUCAUCAUUGUGUUUAAGGUUAAAAAGGGUUCUGUCAAGCUUCGAUCCUUGCUACCAUCGAAGGAGGAAUGUGCUGCAACACUGGUGUAUGAGGAAGCUGAGGUGCUGCUCAUGAUUCUUCUAGUUUUUUUGGUGUGAUUUGCUGAUUCUGUCCUUCUUCUUUUUGCUGGAAUUUCUUUCCCUAUUUAGCCAUAAGUUUCAGCUUCUCCUCCCCUUUUCUUCAUCAAUUGUAUUUUAA